AGCUUUGCGCAGUGGCAGUAUCGUAGCCAAUGAGGUUUAUCCGAGGCGCGAUUAUUGCUAAUUGAAACUUUGAAGUGGUAUAUAGGUCUUAAGUGCUAUUGAUGAUAUUCGACACCGAACUGUUGGAUGAUCUCACCUAGUGGAU